rnacentral:rRNA from 1 species
GACGAACACUGGCGGCGUGCUUAACACAUGCAAGUCGAACGGAAAGGCCCUGCUUUUGUGGGGUGCUCGAGUGGCGAACGGGUGAGUAACACGUGAGUAACCUGCCCUUGACUUUGGGAUAACUUCAGGAAACUGGGGCUAAUACCGGAUAGGAGCUCCUGCUGCAUGGUGGGGGUUGGAAAGUUUCGGCGGUUGGGGAUGGACUCGCGGCUUAUCAGCUUGUUGGUGGGGUAGUGGCUUACCAAGGCUUUGACGGGUAGCCGGCCUGAGAGGGUGACCGGCCACAUUGGGACUGAGAUACGGCCCAGACUCCUACGGGAGGCAGCAGUGGGGAAUAUUGCACAAUGGGCGGAAGCCUGAUGCAGCAACGCCGCGUGCGGGAUGACGGCCUUCGGGUUGUAAACCGCUUCCGCCUGUGACGAAGCGUGAGUGACGGUAAUGGGUAAAGAAGCACCGGCUAACUACGUG